rnacentral:rRNA from 1 species
CACGUAGGGGGCGAGCGUUGUCCGGAUUUAUUGGGCGUAAAGAGCUCGUAGGUGGCUUAGUAAGUCGGGUGUGAAACCUCCAGGCUCAACCUGGAGACGCCACCCGAUACUGCUAUAGCUUGAGUCCGGUAGGGGAGCGUGGAAUUCCUGGUGUAGCGGUGAAAUGCGCAGAUAUCAGGAGGAACACCAGCGGCGAAGGCGGCGCUCUGGGCCGGUACUGACACUGAGGAGCGAAAGCGUGGGGAGCAAGCAGG